CGCGACCCCAGGUCAGGCCGCUAA
rnacentral:rRNA from 1 species